rnacentral:rRNA from 1 species
GACGAACGCUGGCGGCGCGCCUAACACAUGCAGGUCGAACGAGCGAGAGAGAGCUUGCUUUCUCGAGCGAGUGGCGAACGGGUGAGUAACGCGUGAGGAACCUGCCUCAAAGAGGGGGACAACAGUUGGAAACGACUGCUAAUACCGCAUAAGCCCACGGUGCCGCAUGGCACAGAGGGAAAAGGAGCAAUCCGCUUUGAGAUGGCCUCGCGUCCGAUUAGCUAGUUGGUGGGGUAAUGGCCCACCAAGGCGACGAUCGGUAGCCGGACUGAGAGGUUGAACGGCCACAUUGGGACUGAGACACGGCCCAGACUCCUACGGGAGGCAGCAGUGGGGAAUAUUGCACAAUGGGGGAAACCCUGAUGCAGCGACGCCGUGUGGAGGAAGAAGGUCUUCGGAUUGUAAACUCCUGUUGUUGGGGAAGAUAGUGACGGUACCCAACAAGGAAGUGACGGCUAACUACGUA